rnacentral:tRNA from 1 species
GGCCCGAUAGCUCAGUGUUCAGAGCGCCCGACAUUAAUUCAAUUUCUGCAAUAGAAAAAGAUGGUCGGGAGGUCGUUGGUUAGAAUCCAACUCGGACCACCA